UCAGCAGUUAACUGAAGCAUCUAUUUCUAAUGAUCACUCUGUUUGGUCCAAGGUAUGCAUAUAUUACAUUUUUCUUAUUAUUGCUACUUUUAUAUAAUGGUUCUAUCAAUCAUAAUUGAGCAACUACUAUCCUGAAAGUUUGGUGUGCUAUUCUGAUUUGGAUAAUUAUGUUACUUGUAAUAUAAUAAGAGUAAUAAUAAUUCUAUGUUAUUUAGCAUCAGCAGCAAUGCAGGAGGAUUUGACAUAGCAUCUGUCUUAAUUAAGCAAGUCCUAUACAUAGAAACACUGCACCUGCUGUUCAUGCAAAUGUAACUUAAAAUUAUUUUCUAUAAUGCAAGUCCUUUUUAUGCUAUCAUGUAAUAUGCUCCUCUUUGGAUAAUUAUCAUUUCAUCUCUUGAAAGAAGAGGCUACAGCAACAUUGUGAAGACUUGACAUUCUCAUUACCUAUGAAACGUCUUUUGCUAUUUCCAGGUUUUUUUUCCCCAUCUCAUCACCCCCAGAAAUAUUGGUUUUAAUAAAAAAAAUCUGACAAAAUCAACACCUAAUUUACUGGCGACUACAUUAAACGGCUUUGUGUGACAACAUUAAGUCUUUUUGUGAUCUUUAAUGAGUGAGAUAUGUCAUAGUUUUA
rnacentral:misc_RNA from 1 species